rnacentral:rRNA from 1 species
UACAGAGGUCUCAAGCGUUGUUCGGAUUCAUUGGGCGUAAAGGGUGCGUAGGCGGCGCGGUAAGUCGGGUGUGAAAUCUCGGAGCUUAACUCCGAAACUGCAUUCGGUACUGCCGUGCUUGAGGACUGGAGAGGAGACUGGAGUUUACGGUGUAGCGGUGAAAUGCGUAGAUAUCGUAAGGAAGACCAGUGGCGAAGGCGGGUCUCUGGACAGUUCCUGACGCUGAGGCACGAAGGUCAGGGGAGCAAACGGG